GAUGAACGCUGGCGGCGUGCCUAAUACAUGCAAGUCGAGCGAACGGACGAGAAGCUUGCUUCUCUGAUGUUAGCGGCGGACGGGUGAGUAACACGUGGAUAACCUACCUAUAAGACUGGGAUAACUUCGGGAAACCGGAGCUAAUACCGGAUAAUAUUUUGAACCGCAUGGUUCAAAAGUGAAAGACGGUCUUGCUGUCACUUAUAGAUGGAUCCGCGCUGCAUUAGCUAGUUGGUAAGGUAACGGCUUACCAAGGCAACGAUGCAUAGCCGACCUGAGAGGGUGAUCGGCCACACUGGAACUGAGACACGGUCCAGACUCCUACGGGAGGCAGCAGUAGGGAAUCUUCCGCAAUGGGCGAAAGCCUGACGGAGCAACGCGGCGUGGGUGAUGAAGGUCUUCGGAUCGUAAAACUCUGUUAUUAGGGAAGAACAUAUGUGUAAGUAACUGUGCACAUCUGGACGGUACCUAAUCAGAAAGCCACGGCUAACUACGU
rnacentral:rRNA from 1 species